rnacentral:rRNA from 1 species
GACGAACGCUGGCGGCGUGCUUAACACAUGCAAGUCGAACGGAAAGGCCCUGCUUUUGUGGGGUGCUCGAGUGGCGAACGGGUGAGUAACACGUGAGUAACCUGCCCUUGACUUUGGGAUAACUUCAGGAAACUGGGGCUAAUACCGGAUAGGAGCUCCUGCUGCAUGGUGUGGGUUGGAAAGUUUCGGCGGUUGGGGAUGGACUCGCGGCUUAGCAGGUUGUUGGUGGGGUAGUGGCUUACCAAGGCGUUGACGGGUAGCCGGCCUGAGAGGGUGACCGGCGACAUUGGCACUGAGCUACGGCCCAGACGCAUACGGGAGGCAGCAGUGGGGAGUAUUGCACAAUGGGCGGAAGCCUGAUGCAGCAACGCCGCGUGCGGGAUGACGGCCUUCGGGUUGUAAACCGCUUUCGCCUGUGACGAAGCGGGAGUGACGGUAAUGGGUAAAGAAGCACCGGCUAACUACGUG